GAUGAACGCUGGCGGCGUGCCUAAUACAUGCAAGUCGAGCGAAUGGAUUGAGAGCUUGCUCUUAUGAAGUUAGUGGCGGACGGCUGAGUAACGCGUGGGUGACCUGCCCAGAAGUGGAGAAUAACUGCCCGAAAGGGUGGCUAAUACCGCAUGUGGUGGUGCUUUCAAUUGCACCACCAAAGCCGCAAGGCGCUUCUGGAGGGGCCUGCGUCCGAUUAGCUCGUUGGUGGGGUAACGGCUCACCAAGGCGACGAUCGGUAGGUGGUCUGAGAGGACGAUCACCCAGACUGGGACUGAGACACGGCCCAGACUCCUACGGGAGGCAGCAGUCGGGAAUUUUGCGCAAUGGCGAAAGCCUGACGCAGCAACGCCGCGUGAGGGAUGAAGGCCUUCGGGUUGUAAACCUCUUUUCUCAGGGACGAUGAUGACGGUACCUGAGGAAUAAGCCACGGCUAACUACGUGCCAGCCGCCGCGGUAA
rnacentral:rRNA from 1 species